rnacentral:rRNA from 1 species
AAUGAACGCUGGCGGCAGGCCUAAAACAUGCAAGUCGAACGCUCUAGCAAUAGAGAGUGGCGCACGGGUGCGUAACACGUGGGAAUAUGCCUUUUGGUACGGAACAACGUUUGGAAACGAACGCUAAUACCGUAUGGUCCCUUCGGGGUAAAGAUUUAUCGCCAAAAGAUUAGCCCGCGCUGGAUUAGCUAGUUGGUGAGGUAAUGACUCACCAAGGCGACGAUCCAUAGCUGGUCUGAGAGGACGAUCAGCCACACUGGGACUGAGACACGGCCCAGACUCCUACGGGAGGCAGCAGUUAGGAAUAUUGGACAAUGGACGCAAGUCUGAUCCAGCCAUGCCGCGUGAGCGAUGAAGGCCUUCGGUUGUAAGCACUUAAGCGAGGAGGAAGGUCGAUCAUACUAAUAUUAUGAUGAAUUGACGUUACUCGCAGAAUAAGACACCGGCUAACUCUGUGCCGCAGCCGCGGUAA